AACGAACGCUGGCGGCAGGCCUAACACAUGCAAGUCGAGCGAGCAUUUCGGUGCUAGCGGCGGACGGGUGAGUAACGCGUGGGAACGUGCCCUUUUCUGCGGAAUAGUCCUGGGAAACUGGGGGUAAUACCGCAUACGCCCUUUUGGGGAAAGAUUUAUCGGAGAAGGAUCGGCCCGCGUUGGAUUAGGUAGUUGGUGGGGUAAUGGCCCACCAAGCCGACGAUCCACAGCUGGUUUGAGAGGAUGAUCAGCCACACUGGGACUGAGACACAGCCCAGACUCCUACGGGAGGCAGCAGUGGGGAAUCUUAGACAAUGGGGGCAACCCUGAUCUAGCCAUGCCGCGUGAGUGAUGAAGGCCUUAGGGUUGUAAAGCUCUUUCAGCUGGGAAGAUAAUGACGGUACCAGCAGAAGAGGCCCCGGCUAACUCCGUG
rnacentral:rRNA from 1 species